rnacentral:lncRNA from 1 species
UUGGACGAAUAAAUGAACGGAGCGUUCACAUAAACUCCGACACGAGUCGUAAAAGUGCAUUGAUAUAAUCAUAUUGUUGAGCCUUAAGGGCCAACGAAAUAGAGGGCAAUUACCCUCUCAACAUAAUCUUCGGUAGAAGACUCAGUUGCCAACCGCAACCACCGUCCCCCGCUACAAGAGCGGGCCACGGGAACCCGAUCGCUGCCGCCGGAGCCAACGCAACGCAUACCGCAGCUCGGACCAAAAACCGCCAUAAGUUAAUUGGCGCCCAACGGGAUUUAGGAUCCACGUCCCCAAGAAAAAUAACAUGUAAGUUGGGACUAUAGAAACAAGGUCGAAUACGACAGCGACGAGAGCCUAGACUUAUUGUACCAGCCACCAGUCAGAACAGUGCAGAAUCAAUUUAAAAUGGACCCAGCCAUGAUAAAAGCGUUAGUAGAAGGCGCAAUCAACACAGCCCUCGUCGAACAGGAACGACGACUGAGUGCAGAAUUUAGCAGGGAACUCGAAAAAGUUAGAAAUAGUGUGAGCGCUCUAACUGUAGGUGUCCCUCAGGUGGAAACUUAUAAGAGAGUGACCAUUGACACUAGUAUAAAAUGUGAAGUGAAACUAGAUAUCAUAAAAUCAGUACCAACUUUCAACGGGAAUCAUGAGGAAUAUGUGUCUUGGAGACAAUCUGCUCUAGAUGCGUACGAAGUUUUCAAAAACUACUCUGGUAGUCAGACACACUACGAGGCUGUGGCCAUCAUAAAAAAUAAAAUCUGUGGAACAGCUCGAGCAUUGCUCACAUCGCACAACACGGUGCUCAAUUUUNNNNNNNNNNNNNNNNNNNNNNNNNNNNNNNNNNNNNNNNNNNNNNNNNNNNNNNNNNNNNNNNNNNNNNNNNNNNNNNNNNNNNNNNNNNNNNNNNNNNNNNNNNNNNNNNNNNNNNNNNNNNNNNNNNNNNNNNNNNNNNNNNNNNNNNNNNNNNNNNNNNNNNNNNNNNNNNNNNNNNNNNNNNNNNNNNNNNNNNNNNNNNNNNNNNNNNNNNNNNNNNNNNNNNNNNNNNNNNNNNNNNNNNNNNNNNNNNNNNNNNNNNNNNNNNNNNNNNNNNNNNNNNNNNNNNNNNNNNNNNNNNNNNNNNNNNNNNNNNNNNNNNNNNNNNNNNNNNNNNNNNNNNNNNNNNNNNNNNNNNNNNNNNNNNNNNNNNNNNNNNNNNNNNNNNNNNNNNNNNNNNNNNNNNNNNNNNNNNNNNNNNNNNNNNNNNNNNNNNNNNNNNNNNNNNNNNNNNNNNNNGAUAACAGCAUUAAAGGUCGUAGCAAGUACCCCCGACGAGUUGGGCUUCGAAAAAAUAGCAGCUUGUAGAAUCAUAGACUGAUUAACUGAGUACUGAUUAACACAGAGGCACAGAAACAGGAUGCUAAUUUCGGUAGUCCAAAUCUCAUGAUUACGAUCACACUUGCCAAAGCGAAUAUCCCACUAAGACCUAAAAUCUAUUUUUACCGAACAGCUCACAGAGGUCCCAGUAGCUUAUUUGUUGGGAGUAUGUAAGAAUAUAAGAAUUUUUCAUUUCAUAUUUAAGUAGAAUACUCCCAGGUUAAAAUUAUCUUUAUGUCGCGAAGUACACGCCGGCGGCUCUGCUUCAUGACGCACGCAACCCAGCCACCUGGCCACCACCAUCCUGUUGCAUCAAUGCUGUAGUAGUGGACGAUGGCAUAAUCAUCAUAAAUGGGCAGCGAGCAACGGUCAGCGUUGACAAUGGACCCCUAAGGACGACAAGAGAGGCCCACCUCAUCACGUUCGAAGACAGAACCGUGAUCAACAGCACCCUGUUCUUAAACCUCAACAAAGCAUUGAGGAAAGUUCCAGGAAUCGUAGCUUCGCCUUUGCUGUCAAUAACGGGGCACGGUGAAAUCCUAAGCCUACCACGACUACAAUCGAUGAACGAGCACAAUCUAAGGGCCAUCCAAGAACUUAGAAGCGACAUGACAUCCGGUGGGUCACCCAAGACCUGGUUCAUUGCGGUCAGCCUCAAGCUCUGUGGCCUUAUCCUGUUGCAUCAAUGCUGGAGUCGAAGGAACUCCUCAAUCAAGUUGCAAAAGGUCAUCAGAGAGAUAGGUAUCGCCGAGGACGGAGAUGAUUUAAGGGGGGAGUAGUUAACACAUAAGCAAUAACAUGGGACACCCUAACUUAGCGCACAAGAAAUGUGAAAUAUCAUGUGCCGCCCUAACUUAUCCAGUCCGAUACGGAGGGCGCCGAUGCAGUAGAUGCCGUUGCAGCGGGCGGCUCUGUUAUCUGAUUGGGCGCCAGCGAUCGCAUGAUCUUGUUUAUGCGUAGGCGGCUCUUAUCUCUUGUGAGCGCGGACGGCUCGCCGGCUAGGUUUCGGUGUAGGUUUAGAAGUAAGCUUUAGUUUAGAAUUGGACGAAUAAAUGAACGGAGCGUUCACAUAAACUCCGACACGAGUCGUAAAAGUGCAUUGAUAUAAUCAUAUUGUUGAGCGAAUUCCCGGUUGCUUUAUCUCCCGUUAAUGGGAGAGUUGUAUUAGAAGCCAUCUUCUGAGUCAACGGUUGGCGUUGGUGGCAGGGGGCGAUGUUCUCGCCCGGUGCCCUUGGGCUAGCGACGGCGGCCUCGGUUGCGUUGCGUAUGGCGUCGAGCCUGGUUUUUGGACAUAAAGUUAAUUGACAUGCUAGUUCAUGUACAGGAAUUGUUUCCUUUUAUACCCGGUACUCGAAGAGUAAAUAGGGUAUAUUGUAUUUGUGCGAAUAACAGUUGUAUGUAACGCACCGAAGGAAGCGUUUCCGACCACAUAAAGUUAAUUUACAUAUGUGUUUACAUAUGCUUAUAUACAUAUAUAUGUUUUUAUAUUUAUCUGAAAAGAUUUGUCUGUAAAAGAUUGAUUUGGUAACAAUGUUGAUAAUAUGGCAGCAACGAAGUCGAGAAGCGACGGCGUUUCCAUAAUAUGCAUACAAUUUUGAAUAAAGCAGUAUAAAAUCUGCAUUUAAAACAAUUACAGCAUUCAAAUACAAUAACAACUUUUAUUGGUAUAUUAAUUUUUUCCAACCCCCAAAGGUCCGGCCACCAAUCCCCACCCCUCAUUCUGCACAUGUUGAGGUAGGUCAGUUUCAUACGCCAAACCCCGAAAACAAAAUCAAAUUAUCAAAACGAAUUUUCGUUCCAUCGCACUUCAGAAAGUCAGGGCACCAACACAUACAUUACUUGCAGUGUCCGUGUGAAUCAAGCCAGAACCGGUUUGGAGCGCUAAAAAAUCAUUGGCUACACGCACUUAUACAGAUGUAGCUGGGACUUCUGUCUGCGUGCUCUACACGAACUAAUACAAAUGUACCUGGGACUUCUAGCUGCGUGUUCUACACGCACUAAUACUUGUACCUGCGACGUUGGCAGAGGCCUGGGACUUGGCACAAUGGCACAGCCGACCGUCCCCUCCGCACGGGCCAAGUUGGUGGCAGCCAUCGAUAGGCUGACCACCUUGUAAGCACGGCUCACCACUCCAGGGACCGCCAACCCAUCCUCCGCGGUCUCAAAGGUCCGUCGUGACCAGAUCCAAAAUAUGUGGGCCAAGGUGGAGGCUGAAUUUAAGGCAUGUUCGCUGGCAAUGCUGUGCGAGCCCCCUGAAGACCAACAGGAAAUUCAGGAAAUUAACGGCGAGUGCUAUAAUCGACUCAUGGUGACCCCCCAAAUAAAUAUCCUUUUAUUGCUGCUUCGCGUGGGUUCCGAGACCAGUCGUGCCUUGAAAGACCUUCAGAGCACCAUUCAAGGUGUUCUAACCGCCCUGGCUCACUCCAAGGUCUGCACAGACAAUUGGGAUAGUCUUUUUGUUACCAUCUGUGAUUCCAAGCUGCCAAAACUGACCCGGGCUCUGUGGGAAGCGUCAGUAACUGACAAAAAGGUAAUGCCUCCAUGGACGGAAAUGGACUCCUUCCUCACACAGCUAUACUUGACACUAGAGGCCAUGGAGAGCGACCUUUCCCAGGCUAGGAGCGAUGCGAACCAGCCACUGUCCAAAGGCGAUAAAAAUCCGAAACCCUCCUGAAGCCACGCCAACCCGUUCCGGUCUCAAGGCAGUCCUCUUCCGAGGAAUUUUCAAUCCUUCAAUACCUGCAUGAAUCCGAAGAAGUGUGAUCUCUGAUCUCCGACUCUGCCCGCACUUCCUCCAAAUGGACGUUGAAGCACGUUUUAGCUGCAUUAAGACGAAGCAGUUGUGCUUAAACUGUUUUACGAGAGGUCACCAGCUACGAGAGUGUUCAAGUUAAUACAUAAGCAAUAACAUGGGACACCCUAACUUAGCGCACAAGAAAUGUGAAAUAUCAUGUGCCGCCCUAACAAUAGGUCAGGCUAUGCCUCCCGCGGCUACGUCAUCUACGGCAACGUCGCCCGCCGAGACAAUAGACUAACCCGCGGUCGCUAGCGUACUAGAACAAAUACGCAUCCGCCGAGAAUAGAGAACACUCGCCGGACGGCUCGCCGGCUAGGUUUCGGUGUAGGUUUAGAAGUAAGCUUUAGUUUAGAAUUGGACGAAUAAACUCCGACACGAGUCGUAAAACGUGCAUUGAUAUAAUCAUAUUGUUGAGCCUUAAGGGCCAACGAAAUAGAGGGCAGUUCUUCUGUAGAAGACCCAGUUGCCAACGGCAACCACCGUCCCCCGCUACAAGAGCGGGCCACGGGAACCCAAUCGCUGCCGCCGGAGCCAACGCAACGCAUACCGCAGCUCGGACCAACACGACUUAAAGUUAAUUGGCGCCCAACGGAAUUUAGGAUCCACGUCCCCAAGAAAAAUAACAUGUAAGUGACUGUUCGGAAAAAAUAAAGCUUGUGAGAGAAUUUGUAUCUCCCCUUUGCUGAUCGUUCAUGAGUUGGGACUGAAGAAACAAGGUCGAAUACGACAGCGACGAGAGCCUAGACUUAUUGUACCAGCCACCAGUCAGUUGUCACGUCUUAGUUAAAUUUUACCUGGGUCGGUACUAUUUUCGCAAUCAUCUUCCGCGUUAGUUGUGUCGGGAGCAGCUUGUCCUUGCUGCUGACUCACGUCUUAAAUCGUCCCUUGAGCUUUUUCAAUCUUUAUGUGUGAGCGCUCUAACUGUAGGUGUCCCUCAGGUGGAAACUUAUAAGAGAGUGACCAUUGACACUAGUAUAAAAUGUGAAAUGAAACUAGAUUUCAUAAAAUCAGUACCAACUUUCAACGGGAAUCAUGAGGAAUAUGUGUCUUGGAGACAAUCUGCUCUAGAUGCGUACGAAGUUUUCAAAAACUACUCUGGUAGUCAGACACACUACGAGGCUGUGGCCAUCAUAAAAAAUAAAAUCUGUGGAACAGCUCGAGCAUUGCUCACAUCGCAUAACACGGUGUUCAAUUUUGAUGCAAUCAUAGCUAGACUCGAUUGCACAUAUGCGGACAAAACAUCCCUACGAGUAUUACGUCAACACUUGGAAAUGGUUAGGCAGGGUGAAACCGAUCUAAUGGAAUAUUAUGACGAAGUCGAGAGAAAGCUACGCUCGUCACUAACAAAGUGGUCAUGACUCAUAAUGAGGAGGCAGCUACCAUUCUCAACGAGGAAAUUAGGAAUGAUGCUUUACACGCAUUCAUAGCGGGCCUCAAGAGGCCGCUAAAAUUGUUCGUUCUCCCGGCACAGCCCAAGGAUUUUCCAUCCGCCUUAGCUCUAGCUCGCGAGGCCGAAAAUAGCAUUGAGAGAAGCGCAUUUGCCGCUACGUAUGCAAAGGUGAUCGAGGAUAAAAACCAUUCAGGCGACGGCAAUAGACAGGGUCAUCGGGCCCAGGCCAGACAAGGUAGAGGUCAGGAAAAGAACCCACAUUUUGUGGGAAAAAGUAAUCAAAAUAGGCAGCAACAGGGUGAUCCUUGGCCAAAGCCAAACGAUAAAGAGGCCCCACAACAAAACCAAGUGCAGCCUAUGGAAGUUGACCCAUCGAUGUCUAAAGCCCAGAAAGGAGCUGAAAAACGUAACUUCGGUCGAAGAUUUUCGACUAGAUUUUCGGGCUAAGCGCCCCAUUUUUUUUGUUAAACACUCUAAGUACGUUUGAUGCCAUUAUAGGUUCCGAUUUGCUAACGCGAGCGGGAGCGGCAUUGAACCAGCGCAGCAGAACAAUCAGAUACGGAAACGCAACUGAACAACUUAGGUUCCACAACUGUGACAACGUAAAUUUCACCAAAGUCGAUGACCUGGUGGUCCCAGGCUCGGUAAAAUCCGAGUUCAAAAAGAUGAUACAGAAGAGAAUCCAAGUUUUUUCGACCUCUAACGAGGCGCUGCCCUUUAGCACCUCAGUCGUCGCUACCAUCCGAACUGAGAAUGACGAGCCAGUCUACUCCAAAUUAUACCCCUACCCUAUGGGAGCAGCAGACUUCGUAAACAAAGAAGUCAAGAACUCUUGAAGGACGGCAUAAUCAGGCCAUCUAGGUCGCCAUACAACAGCCCAAUUUGGGUUGUAGACAAAAAGAAAUCUGACGCCAACGGCAACAGGAAAAAGCGUCUGGUAAUCGACUUCAGAAAACUGAACGAGCGAACAAUCGCCGAUCGAUACCCCAUGCCAAGCAUACCCAUUAUUCUAGCGAACUUGGGAAAGGCAAGAUUUUUUACUACCCUAGAUCUAAAAUCACGGUACCACCAGAUAUACAUGGCGGAAAAAGACCGUGAAAAAACUUCGUUUUCAAUUAACGGAGGAAAUACGAGUUUUUCCGGUUACCCUUUGGACUAAAGAAUGCUGGGAGCAUUUUCCAAAGGGCAAUCGACGAUGUUCUACGAGAACAAAUUGGGAAAAUAUGUUAUGUCUAUGUAGAUGAUGUAAUAAUUUUUUCCGAAAACAAAAAUGAUCACGUUAAACACAUCGACACAGCGCUUAAACGCCUCUGCGAUGCAAACAUGAGAGUGGCCCCAGAAAAGACAAAGUUCUUUAAAGAAAGCGUAGAGUUCUUAGGCUUCAUAGUUACCAGGGGAGGAGCCGAGACCGACCCAGAAAAAGUAAGGGCAAUAAGGGAAUACACUGAACCCAAAACACUGUUCAGCCUCAGGUCCUUCCUCGGGCUGGCCAGCUAUUACAGGAGCUUUGUCAGAGAUUUCGCGACAAUAGCGAGACCCUUAACCGCAUUACUCAAAGGAGAAAAUGGCACAGUCAGCAAACACAUGUCCAAGAAAGUUGCGAUUCAGUUCGGUGAAACGCAACGCAACGCAUUCGACCGUCUGCGAAACAUUUUGGCGUCAGAGGACGUCAUCCUUACGUACCCUGAUUUCAAACUACCCUUUGAUCUAACUACCGAUGCCUCAGCAAGCGGCAUUGGGGCGGUCCUGUCCCAAAACGGCAGGCCAAUCACAAUGAUCUCGCGAACACUAAAAGAUUGUGAAGUAAACUACGCCACAAACGAAAGGGAAUUGUUGGCAAUUGUAUGGGCUAUAGGGAAGUUACAAAAUUACUUAUACGGUACCAAGGAAGUAAGAAUCUUUACCGAUCACCAGCCCUUAACAUUUGCUGUGUCCGAUAGGAACACAAAUGCCAAAAUCAAACGGUGGAAAGCCUUUAUAGAGGAACAUAACGCUAAGGUGUUCUACAAACCGGGUAAGGAAAACUUCGUGGCCGACGCCCUGUCCAGACAAAACAUUAAUAACCUACACGAAGAGCCUCAGUCCGAUGCUGCCACGGUGCACAGCGAGCUCUCUCUGUCUUACACAGUGGAAACCACGGAUAAGCCCCUCAACUGUUUCAGAAACCAAAUAAUUCUAGAAGAAGCUAGCCAGCCUCUACGGCGAAACUUCAUAAUUUUCGGCGGAAAAACCCGCCACAUUAUUCNGACACCCUAACUUAGCGCACAAGAAAUGUGAAAUAUCAUGUGCCGCCCUAACUUAUCCAGUCCGAUACGGAGGGCGCCGAUGCAGUAGAUGCCGUUGCAGCGGGCGGCUCUGUUAUCUGAUUGGGCGCCAGCGAUCGCAUGAUCUUGUUUAUGCGUAGGCGGCUCUUAUCUCUUGUGAGCGCGGACGGCUCGCCGGCUAGGUUUCGGUGUAGGUUUAGAAGUAAGCUUUAGUUUAGAAUUGGACGAAUAAAUGAACGGAGCGUUCAUAUCAACUCCGACACGAGUCGUAAAACGUGUAUUGAUAUAAUCAUAUUGUUGAGCCUUAAGGGCCAACGAAAUAGAGGGCAAUUACCCUCUCAACAUAAUCUUCGGUAGAAGACUCAGUUGCCAACCGCAACCACCGUCCCCCGCUACAAGAGCGGGCCACGGGAACCCGAUCGCUGCCGCCGGAGCCAACGCAACGCAUACCGCAGCUCGGACCAAAAAACGCCAUAAAGUUAAUUGGCGCCCAACGGGAUUUAGGAUCCACGUCCCCAAGAAAAAUAACAUGUAAGUGACUGUUCGGAAAAAAUAAAGCUUGUGAGAGAAUUUUGAUCUCCCCUUCGCUGAUCGUUUAUGAGUUGGGACUACAGAAACAAGGUCGAAUACGACAGCGACGAGAGCCUAGACUUAUUGUACCAGCCACCAGUCAGAACAGUGCAGAAUCAAUUUAAAAUGGACCCAGCCAUGAUAAAAGCGUUAGUAGAAGGCGCAAUCAACACAGCCCUCGUCGAACAGGAACGACGACUGAGUGCAGAAUUUAGCAGGGAACUCGAAAAAGUUAGAAAUAGUGUGAGCGCUCUAACUGUAGGUGUCCCUCAGGUGGAAACUUAUAAGAGAGUGACCAUUGACCCUAGUAUAAAAUGUGAAAUGAAACUAGAUAUCAUAAAAUCAGUACCAACUUUCAACGGGAAUCAUGAGGAAUAUGUGUCUUGGAGACAAUCUGCUCUAGAUGCAUACGAAGUUUUCAAAAACUACUCUGGUAGUCAGACACACUACGAGGCUGUGGCCAUCAUAAAAAAUAAAAUCUGUGGAACAGCUCGAGCAUUGCUCACAUCGCACAACACGGUGCUCAAUUUUGAUGCAAUCAUAGCUAGACUCGAUUGCACAUAUGCGGACAAAACAUCGUAGGGAUGUAUUACGUCAACACUUGGAAAUGGUUAGGCAGGGUGAAACCGAUCUAAUGGAAUAUUAUGACGAAGUCGAGAGAAAGCUCACGCUCGUCACUAACAAAGACUCAUGACUCAUAAUGAGGAGGCAGCUACCAUUCUCAACGAGGAAAUUAGGAAUGAUGCUUUACACGCAUUCAUAGCGGGCCUCAAGAGGCCGCUAAAAUUGUUCGUUCUCCCGGCACAGCCCAAGGAUUUUCCAUCCGCCUUAGCUCUAGCUCGCGAGGCCGAAAAUAGCAUUGAGAGAAGCGCAUUUGCCGCUACGUAUGCAAAGGUGAUCGAGGAUAAAAACCAUUCAGGCGACGGCAAUAGACAGGGUCAUCGGGCCCAGGCCAGACAAGGUAGAGGUCAGGAAAAGAACCCACAUUUUGUGGGAAAAAGUAAUCAAAAUAGGCAGCAACAGGGUGAUCCUUGGCCAAAGCCAAACGAUAAAGAGGCCCCACAACAAAACCAAGUGCAGCCUAUGGAAGUUGACCCAUCGAUGUCUAGGUUUAGGCAACAGACCAAUUGGGGGAAACCACAGAGCGACGUCACACAGGGCGAAGCUCAGAAAAGGCGGAACACGUCAGAUCGUAUAUCUGGGCAAAGACGCCAAGGGAUAAAUAAUAUAAUACAGCAGGCCCCUAACCAAGGGGAACAAGAAUAUGCAAACUUAGCCGAGGCCGCGGUUGCGGAAAUUGACGAAGAAAGUGAUUCGGCUAGCGGCAACGACCUGUUCAAUUUUUUUAGUGAGCGCUCCCAAUUGCCGUUCGUCGAGCGACAGUUGGCUGGCAAAACACUAAAAAUUUUAAUCGACACUGGUGCGGCUAAAAAUUACGUAAAGCCCAUAAAGGAGCUGAAAAACGUAACUUCGGUCGACGCCCCCUUCACCGUGAGCUCGAUACAUGGCUCCAGUGAAAUAAAAAACAAGUGCCUAAUGAAUAUUUUCGGGCAAAACGCCCCAUUUUUUUUGUUAGACACUCUAGCUACGUUCGAUGCCAUUAUAGGUUCCGAUUUGCUAACGCGAGCGGGAGCGGCAUUGAACCUGCGCAGCGGAACAAUCAGAUACGGAAACGCAACUGAACAACUUAGGUUCCACAACUGUGACAAAGUAAAUUUCACCAAAGUCGAUGACCUGGUGGUCCCAGGCUCGGUAAAAUCCGAGUUCAAAAAGAUGAUACUGAAGAGAAUCCAAGUUUUUUCGACCUCUAACGAGGCGCUGCCCUUUAGCACCUCAGUCGUCGCUACCAUCCGAACUGAGAAUGACGAGCCAGUCUACUCCAAAUUAUACCCCUACCCUAUGGGAGCAGCAGACUUCGUAAACAAAGAAGUCAAGAACUCUUGAAGGACGGCAUAAUCAGGCCAUCUAGGUCGCCAUACAACAGCCCAAUUUGGGUUGUAGACAAAAAGAAAUCUGACGUCAAAGGCAACAGGAAAAAGCGGCUGGUAAUCGACUUCAGAAAACUGAACGAGCGAACAAUUGCCGAUCGAUACCCUAUGCCGAGCAUACCCAUGAUUCUAGCGAACUUGGGAAAGGCAAGAUUUUUUACUACCCUAGAUCUAAAAUCAGGGUACCACCAGAUAUACAUGGCGGAAAAAGACCGUGAAAAAACUUCGUUUUCAAUUAACGGAGGGAAAUACGAGUUUUGCCGGUUACCCUUUGGACUAAAGAAUGCUGGGAGCAUUUUCCAAAGGGCAAUCGACGAUGUUCUACGAGAACAAAUUGGGAAAAUAUGUUAUGUCUAUGUAGAUGAUGUAAUAAUUUUUUCCGAAAACGAAAAUGAUCACGUUAAACACAUCGACACAGCGCUUAAACGCCUCUGCGAUGCAAACAUGAGAGUGGCCCCAGAAAAGACAAAGUUCUUUAAAGAAAGCGUAGAGUUCUUAGGCUUCAUAGUUACCAGGGGAGGAGCCGAGACCGACCCAGAAAAAGUAAGGGCAAUAAGGGAAUACACUGAACCCAAAACACUGUUCAGCCUCAGGUCCUUCCUCGGGCUGGCCAGCUAUUACAGGAGCACAAUCUAAGGGCCAUCCAAGAACUUAGAAGCGACAUGACAUCCGGUGGGUCACCCAAGACCUGCUUCAUUGCAGGAGUGGCGGCCAGCCUCAAGCUCUGUGGCCUUAUCCUGUUGCAUCAAUGCUGGAGUCGAAGGAACUCCUCAAUCAAGUUGCAAAAGGUCAUCAGAGAGAUAGGUAUCGCCGAGGACGGAGAUGAUUUAAGGGGGGAGUAGUUAACACAUAAGCAAUAACAUGGGACACCCUAACUUAGCGCACAAGAAAUGUGAAAUAUCAUGUGCCGCCCUAACUUAUCCAGUCCGAUACGGAGGGCGCCGAUGCAGUAGAUGCCGUUGCAGCGGAUCUUACAUUUUUCAACAGCUCCCCAAUCGAUGUACUGAUUGGGGCCGAUAUCCUACCAUCCGUAGUGUUAAGCGGCGUCCAGCCCAUCAAAUGCAGCUCUCUAUUCGGCCAAGAAACCAUUUUCGGUUGGGUGCUCACAGGUCCCGUGUCCAAUACGGCGACCCAGCGACUUGUAUCUUUUUUAAGUCAAAUUUCCAGAGACAAUUCCAAUGUCCUAAAUGUGACCAUACUCCGUUCCGUUAAGCAAAUUACUAAUGCUUCUUCGACUUCUUCAUCUCGUCCUAGCCUUCCGCAUGCAUACAUGGCGUCUCGGUCGCAAGUCGACCGCACCACUCAGAGCAGACGUUCCUGAGAUACUAAGUCCUACCAAUGCCGAGUCUGCUCUGAAUUCCAUCCUCUACGGAAGUGUCGCCGAUUUCUCCGCCUAAGGACCGAAGAUAGGCUCCGAGCUGUCCGAAACUUCAGCUACCGCACCAAUCCGGCUGGCUCACCAGCACUCCGGACAGGAUUGCCGAUGCGGCGACCGGUGUAAGGUGUGUGACCUGAGGCACCACACGUUGCUGCACAUGGACGGUGCGCAACUGCCGCCCUCUUCUCGACGUCCAGCCCCGCACCACUUCUAGUGCCAUCUGCAGCUUCUGCGUCGCAGGCCGGACACCGCCUUCGAGAACCAGUAUCUCCUUUUGCUGUACUGCAAGGGGGGGGGGGGGGGGAGGAUGGUGAAAGUAGCAGAAGCGAGUUAGCAGCGCCCGCGCCGUUUCGAGUGCACAAUAAACCACCAUUAUAUCGAAUAUACUGUGCCUCUUCAUUUCGGGACACUUGGACUUUCCGAGGAGUUUAUCUGCAGCGUCAGGAAGCCGUCCUACUACGAACACUUUCUAAAACAAAUACCUCUGUGGGAUACAUCAAGAGUACAGAUGGUACAAGAUCGUGCGGAUUAAGUGUAAAUGCCUCAAAAUCGGAACUUGUACUAUUUACUAACAAGUACAAAGCCCCGCCACUUAACCCCCCAACAUUAAAAAAAUGUAGGUUAACCUUUAGCGGCAGUGCCAGUGACCUU